CAUACUUAUUCAAGCAAAUACAGCAAACCUAUACCAGAUUGGGGAAGAGAAAUGAGCAUAUUAGUUUUGAAGUAAUUGCCCACAAGUAAGUAUUAGGCUUAUUUCUCUCACCUAGAACAAAUAUGACAGCCUAUCUGACCAUAAAAUGAAAUGGGAUACUGCAACCUUUAUCAAUUUUUCUUUCCUUUAUUUUUUUUUCAUUUCAAAGAAAAGAGAAGAUUUACUACCUUGAAUUUUUACAAUGAACUAGAUCUUGUGCUAAAAUGUGUCUU
rnacentral:misc_RNA from 1 species